rnacentral:misc_RNA from 1 species
UUUCCGUAGGUGAACCUGCGGAAGGAUCAUUAUCGUACAACCGAGGUGCCCGGGCUGUCGCUGACCCCUCAAAGGUCGUGCACGCCCGAGCGCUCUCGCACAAUCCAUCUCACCCCUUUGUGCAUCACCGCGUGGGUCCCCCCCUUUUUCGGGGAGGGUUCGCGUUUUCACAUAAAACUUGAUACAGUCUAGAAUGUUUUAUUUUUGCGGUCACACGCGAUCAAUACAACUUUCAACAACGGAUCUCUUGGCUCUC